AUUGAACGCUGGCGGCAGGCCUAACACAUGCAAGUCGAGCGGGAACAUAAAGAAGCUUGCUUCUUUGCUGACUAGCGGCGGACGGGCGGGUAAUGCUUUGGGACAUGCCUUGAGGUGGGGGACAACAGUUGGAAACGACUGCUAAUACCGCAUAAUGUCUACGGACCAAAGGGGGCUUCUGCUCUCGCCUUUAUAUUAGGCCAAAUGGGAUUAGUUAGUUGGUGAGGUAAUGGCUCACCAAGGCGACGAUCCCUAGCUGGUUUGAGAGGAUGAUCAGACACACUGGGACUGAGACACGGCCGAGACACCGACAGGAGGAAGCAGUGGGGACUCUUGCAGGAUGGGCGAAAGCCUGAUGCAGCAAUGUCGGGUGAGUCAAGAAGGACUUCGGGUUGUAAAGCAAUUUAAGUCAGGAGGAAAGGUUAGUCGUUAAUACCUGCUAGCUGUGACGUUACUGACAGAAGAAGCACCGGCUAACUCCGUG
rnacentral:rRNA from 1 species